rnacentral:rRNA from 1 species
CCUACGGGGGGCAGCAGUGGGGAAUUUUGGACAAUGGGGGCAACCCUGAUCCAGCCAUGCCGCGUGCGGGAAGAAGGCCUUCGGGUUGUAAACCGCUUUUGUCAGGGAAGAAAUCUUCCGAGCUAAUACCUUGGGAGGAUGACGGUACCUGAAGAAUAAGCACCGGCUAACUACGUGCCAGCAGCCGCGGUAAUACGUAGGGUGCAAGCGUUAAGUGAAAUUACUGGGGGUGGUUGUUGCGCAGAGGGGUGAAAUCCCCUGGCUUAACCUGGGAACUGCACUUGUGACUGUACGGCUGGAGUACGGCAGAGGGGGAUGGAAUUCCGCGUGUAGCAGUGAAAUGCGUAGAUAUGCGGAGGAACACCGAUGGCGAAGGCAGUCCCCUGGGCCUGUACUGACGCUCAUGCACGAAAGCGUGGGGAGCAAACAGGAUUAGAUACCCUUGUAGUC